rnacentral:rRNA from 1 species
GACGAACGCUGGCGGCGUGCUUAACACAUGCAAGUCGAACGGAAAGGCCCUGCUUUUGUGGGGUGCUCGAGUGGCGAACGGGUGAGUAACACGUGAGUAACCUGCCCUUGACUUUGGGAUAACUUCAGGAAACUGGGGCUAAUACCGGAUAGGAGCUCCUGCUGCAUGGUGGGGGUUGGAAAGUUUCGGCGGUUGGGGAUGGACUCGGGGCUUAUCAGCUUGUUGGUGGGGUAGUGGCUUACCAAGGCUUUGACGGGUAGCCGGCCUGAGAGGGUGACCGGCCACAUUGGGUCUGAGAUACGGCCCAGACUCAUACGGGAGGCAGCAGUGUGGUAUAUGGCACAAUGGGCGGAAGCCUGAUGCAGCAACGCCGCGUGCGGGAUGACGGCCUUCGGGUUGUAAACCGCUUUCGCCUGUGACGAAGCGUGAGUGACGGUAAUGGGUAAAGAAGCACCGGCUAACUACGUG